rnacentral:lncRNA from 1 species
CUCUCCCAUGUGCGAGGCGCCGGUUGUAUGGGGUCCGCACACUUACCAUUAGACUAGCCCGAGUGGCAAGUCCAGAUGUUGCAGGGACACGUAGGGUGACAAGAAGGAUGAUGCAAGCCGCCCAGAUGGAGCAAGGAGGAUCCUCGCACCAUGACGUUGAAGAGGGCGAUGAAGCGAUGUCAGUGGAUGCUUCAGACUCCAUGGGUCUACCUCCACAACGCACUCCACGCCCAAGGGACAGGGCUAGGCGUCACCAGCCCACAGGUAUGGACAGUCUCAUUAAUGACAUGGGCGAAUUGCAGAUUGGGCAAGAAGCAACAUUGCAACUGGCGUUACAAAACGGCCAACAUAUCCGACGUGUGCGAGAGGAAGACGCACAACGCUGGGCUGGAUGGUACCAAAAUUUCCCGCCACCACAGUGAGCGAAGAUCUAGCUUGGGGGAGAUCCUCUCCCCCACUAAGGUAAGUAUUCUAUCCUAUUUAUUUUCAUGCAUUUUAUCAUUCUUACUUAAAAAAAAUAAUAAUAAUAAAAAAUAAAUAUUUAUUAGCAUUUCCCUUUAGCAUAUAUGCUUCAUGUAUGUUUAUAUCCCUCAUGGAAAUUAUGACUAGUUGCUUGUUAAAUGUUUCUCUAGUGCCUAGUAUACAACUUAGUAUUUCUCUAAGUAUGGAUCACUUAGCUCACUUAAACUGCCAUGAACCUAAAAACUUUGUGGGUUGCAAGUGCUAGAACUAAGUCUAAGUUGUUGUGGGACAUGAGAUAGUAAGACAAGAGCUACUAUAAUAUUUUUCUAAGCAUGCAUGAUUAUCAGAGAUUUAUUCUUAAAAUGAUCAAAACCUUAAUUGUUCCUCAAUGGUGAUGAAUUCCUACCACAGCCAUAUCUACUUUACAUAAUUGCAACCUUUCCACAUAAGCUAUUUGCUUUGUGUUGAGUGUCGUCAAGUCUUGUUGACCCUUGUUAAGAGACUUUUCAUGCUCCUAAGAUCAAGAUCACGUACACACCACAUAUAUAUAUGCUGCUUCUACACUGGAAGUACGCAACCACAUGUAUUUCGCAUCCACUAAAUAGGUUGCUCCAUACUCUAAAUGUUAGAACAUCUCUCUAAGCAUUAUUUGGUAAAUGAGACAUCAAAAGGCUAGGCAAAAUGAAAUAAAAAGAUGGACAUGUGCAAGUCCACAGAAAAAGAAAAUUGAGCACAUGAAAGCUCAUAUAUAGAAAAAAAAAGAAGAAAAAAAUGCUAGCCAUGUCUCAAUACAUAGAGAGUCUAUCAAAUAAAGGAGCAACCUAGUCCACCAUAUAUCACACUUGCACAUCUUGAUCUGGGAGUAUGACACUUCUCUUCAAGGAUCCGAGCUUUGACUUCGCAAUACAUGCAAAGUAAGUAUGCUAUCUCCUUUCAUCCCUACCUUGAACUCCACAUAAGCCUUUUAGAAAUAGGAUGAAAUAGAGAAGGCAACUCUUACCAUAUGCCUUGGUGAGGAAUCAUACACCAUUUGAGUGACAUGAGAGAACCAUAAGAGGAACAUUUAAGCUUUCUUUUGAAAAUAUCACAAACCUCUGAUAUGAAACUUGCUAAGAAUGAGAAAGUUAGUGCUCAAGUCAAACUGUUCUGUCUCUCAACCACCUAAGACAAAGGAAAAGCCAUAAGCCCCAUAAGGGACUAAGGUAAUAGGGGUAAGUUUACAUAGCUAAAUUUUUCAUGCAAAGAGAAGAACUUUGUUGUACACAUGGUACUCUUGAAAUGUGAACAUAGUAACAAUACCUGAUCCACCGAGGCUAAGUUUGAUUGUUUGCUCGGGACGAGCAAAGGUUAAGCUUGGGGGAUCUUGUUGACGGUGGAUAUACCAUAGAAAUCCACAUACAAAACACCGUCAACAUGCCUCGGUUGCAAGGGGAAACGACAUGACAUGAACAUAUUUUAUCCAUAACUAGUUCCACUUGUACUCUUAGCUUGUUUAUGCAGGAACAACAAAUUCAAGACAUUAUUUGACAAAUCCAACAUCAGAAUCAUCAAGAGGAGAUCGAGGGGACAACAGGUGACACCCUGGGCCCACAGGGAGGGGGUCGCCCGACCCCUCUUUGGUGGGACCCAGGUGUGCCACCUAGUCCACCGACAUAAGGGACCCCUGUGGACACUGCUGGUGGGCCCAGAGGCCCAGAAGUGGGGUCGCCCGACCCCACAUCAAAGGCGGUUCCAGGGUCGGUGGCCUCCCACCGACCUUCCCCACAUGUCCCACAUGUUGAUUUGCCCCUGCCGUUGAUCAAAUGGCGGUUGUGAGGUCGGUUUGAUCCAAGGGUGGAGAGAAGAUGUCACGCGGAUCGAUGACGUGGCGAUGGAGUAACCCCUACUCCAUCUCCCUCUAUAAAAGGCAGCCUCCAUCCUUCAUUUCAAGUGUGCAAUUCCAAGGCCAAGUGCAUUACAAGUUCCAAGCAUACAAGUAGAGUAGUAGUUAGUCUAGAGUGGGAGUUAGAGUCGAGUCGAGCGAAGCUCGGGGUCUCCGGAGUCGUCUUCUGGAGAGUCUGGUAUAGCUCUUGUACCUUUCUACUUUUGUAAGACUUUCCUUUUAUUAAUAUAUUAUUCUUACUUUACUUUACUGAGUUCUUACUUAGUGCAAGUCUUUUAGUCUUGUUGUGCAUUUACUUUAGUAAUAUAGUUGUCUUAGUGAAGUUAGUGACCUGUAACCACUCCUGUGUGUGCAUCAUCGUCCUAUCUUGUAUAGGAGCUCUAGCUAGCUGCAACUAGUUAGCGUUGUAGGAUUAAGUGUGAGCGUGGUGCUCAUACUUAAGAUUACCUUUGAUUACCGCUGGCUUGAACGGAAAGUAGGAGCGCACUCCCUAGUAGGUGACAGAUCGUGGGCGGCAUUAGGUUCUCCUCACGUACAGGCUAGUUCUUAAAAGGUAAGGCGUCCAUAAGCCCAAUAGUCGCUUUCGGUAAGGGGUUAGGUGAAAAACCUUCUAAGCGUCUUACCAGCUCGGCUAUCCCUCGCACACAGUUAGUAAGGCUCUAGCGUAGUUAAGACAAUUAUCUAUUAAAGUAAGUCACAGAAGUCAAGUUAGAUACAUAGGAGUCCUUUACUCACUCGUUGUCCUCCCACCUAGCUAACUCUACCAUUUACCUUUAGCAUAGGACCUUGGAUUCACCACUACCCUUCCUAUUCGUUAUUUACCACCCUUAUUCACUAGUUGAUACUAGAUAACUCAAGGAAUCUCAUUCCCCUUUUUGUUAAACACACUUAGCCGCUUUCCCUUGGGAAAAUAUAAAUUACGAUACCUUGGAAUACUCCUUGGUGAAGUGCUACAGCGGUACAUUCUGUGCGCUUGCGGAAUUAUCCAAUAGUAAAUAGAGUUACCCUACCAGGGCACUUCUGGCGCCGUCGCCGAUAUCCGGUGGUUGCGUUAAGAAGUGUCAACAAGCAUUUCUAGCGCCGUUGCCGGGGAGAGCGUCUGUCUAAGAGUUUUAACAAAAAGAGAAUCCAGAGUUUGCUAGUUAUCAAGUAGUGAUAGGGAUAACCCAUCACUUGUCUUGUCUUCCUUUAUUGUGAAGCCUGACAGUGUAUGAGCGGUUUCCAAUUGCCGUCAAACUUCGUUGAAGAUCCUGAGCAACUGUUGAGGAGAACUAGACGUCGUCAAGUUCCACCUCAAAGGUUCAUCUCGAACCUGAAUCCGUUAGAGGAAGGAGUAUCUGCACCGGUUAUCAAAGAAGCUAUGGCCCAGAAGACCAUCUCUGAGUACUCUGCGCCGUCGGCUGACAAUGUCGCCACGGGUCCGCAGCUUAACUUGGGGAUGCGACUUUUGAGUUGAAGCCUGCGCUUAUCAAUAUGGUGCAAGCUAAUCCCUUCUGUGGAAAGCCACACGAGGAUGCCAAUGCCCAUCUCCAACACUUCUUGGAGGUGUGCGGCACCUUCACCAUCAAGAAUGUCGCCGCAGACGCCAUCCGUCUUCGCCUCUUCCCAUUCUCGUUAUUGGGGAAGGCGAAGCAAUGGUUCUACGCCAACAAGGGUGAAGUGACCACGUGGGAGAGGUGCGCCAAUGCAUUUCUCAAGAAGAUGUUUCCGAUGGGCAAGACCAGCGCCCUUCGUGGAAAGAUUUCCAGCUUCCAACAGCAAGCAGAUGAGACGAUUCCCGAAGCAUGGGAACGUCUGCAGGAGUACAUUCGCGCCUGUCCUCAUCAUGGGAUAGAGGAGUGGCUCCUAAUCCAAGGUUUCUACCAUGGCCUGACCGGUUUGGCCCGUAGUCACCUUGAUGCUGCCGCUGGAGGAGCAUUCUUGCAACACAAUGUCAAGGAUGCCAAGGACCUCAUUGAAAAGAUGGUUAUAAACCAAGGAUGGAAUGAGGAACGCCUCCAACCCAAGAGAAGAGGUGUCCAUGCCUUGAAUGAGGUGGACAUGCUCUGUGCUAAGAUGGACCUCUUAAUGAAGAAGAUGGAAGAAAGUUCCAAGCAAGAGACCAUUCAACCUUACGCCACUGCACGGGCCAUUGAAUCUGAUUCAUGGUGCGAAGUGUGCGGAGGAGAUGAUCAUUCGGGAAACAAUUGUCCCGAAACAAAGGAGGAAGUGAGCUUCAUCAACAACAACAACAAUGGGUACCGGCCCCAACAACAGCAAUGGAACUCGCGCCCUUCUACCAAGGUAAUCAAGGUAAUGGUUACAAUCAAAAUUUCAAUAAUUCUUUUGGUAACCAACCUUCUCUUAGAGAUCUUGUCUUAGGCCAAUCUAAAAUCAAUGAUAGCAUUAACAAGAAAAUGAUGGCUAAUGAUAAGAUCCUUGAAAACUUAAGUGAAAAGUUGGAUAGCUUUAACUCUGCUAUGAAAAAUCAGUUGAGCUUUAACAAAAUGCUAGAAACACAAUUAGCUCAAUUAGCAGCAGCUGUCCCAUCCUUCGAGCAAGGUAAGAUCCCAGGGAAACCUGAGGACCCAAUUGAAGGAGUUAAACUAGUUACUACGAGGUUCGGUAAGCCUCCGGUACAAUCCAACUGGAGCUAUCUUCUGGAUUCGCCCUUCAUCACCAAGAAGGACGACCCAGGCCUGCCGACCAUCACCUGUGAGAUCGGACCGCAAAUCUUCCACAACGCCUUCUGCGACCUUGGAUCGGGUGUCAACAUCAUGGCCAAGGUAACUUAUGAUAAUUUGCUAGGGGGGCCUUUGCACCCCACAUUUGUUCGUUUGCAGAUGGCAGAUCAGACGAUCAGGUUCCCUGAGGGGUUGGCAAGGGACAUACUGGUAAAGGUCCAAGACGACUACGUCCCUGCCGACUUCAUCAUUUUGGAUAUGGGAUCCAAUAAUGAUGUCUCGAUCAUCUUGGGAAGGCCAUUCCUCAACACGGUCAAUGCAGUCAUCUAUGUGGGGUCCGGCCAGAUUCACCUCCAAUUCCCAGGAUGGAAGGUAAAAUGUCCAUUCAAUGGUUAUAAAGCUAACAUGCAGGUGAAGGACAAAGAACCUCCGACUAAGCCUCGCCACAUCCGACGCCGAAGGGACAAGAGAGGUAAGUCGGCCAAAAGGGCCGAAAAGAAAGAAGAGGAACCCGCUGAACCAAAAAUCAAUACCAAGCAAGUAUGGCGGGAGAAAGAGGUGCAAUCAAGGUUCACGUCUCCGGGACCAUCUGAUGCACCCGAAGGAUGAACAAGAUGGAGAGGUCCUGCUCUACGGACCUAAAACAUGGAGCCCUUGCUGAUAAGGCAAAUCAGUAGUUAUCCCAUAUUUAUUUUCUGCAUUUCAAUUUCUACUAUUCACUUUUCAAUUGCAUUCUUACUUUGAAUUUUGCAUAUCUUAUUUCGACAAAAUGUUUAGCCAUAAUAAAUAAAAUCUUGAGAAUAACUUGUCAUAAAAAUUUGAGCUGCUGGAGCUCCCAAAAGGGGGGUCGCCCGACCCCACCUUGGGGCCCACUUCACCGCAUUUCAACCUUGCUAGUCAUAGAGGUUCCAACCCAGCACUUGGAUGCUCUGGGAGCUCCAAUGUGGGGGUCGGCCGACCCCCAUAUUGGCCCCACUUGCCUCCUGCUGGCCACCAUUUGAAUCACAAUGGAGUCCUAUGCUUGUAACACUAGCUAAAGUUUGAAAAAGAGUGGUCCCUUGAUCCUUUACUUUAGUCAUAAGAUGCUCCUUUCAUCUUUGAUUCUUUUGGGACCACUCCACUAGCUUAAAUUCUGCAAAGUGGUCACCUAGGCAUGCUUGAGUGCUCCCAUGGUCCAUAGGAAUCACUUUAGACAUGUCUCCACUUUUGCCAUUCAUCUUUUACCUUUCACAAAGCACUAAAACAGGGAAUCUCAGAAACAAUUUGAAAACUUUUGGUCCACGCCUAGCCUUUACUUUUCCGGACAAUCAAUGACACAAUGUUUAAAGUGGAGGAGGGGCUAGGAUGGGGGUUGGCCGACCCCCAUUUUGGACCAUCUCUGCAAAAUCUUGAAAGCAUGCAGAAUGGUUCCCUGCAUAAAGCUAAACUCAAAUUCAAAGUGCUUCUAGGGGGGGUCGGCCGACCCCUAUAUUGUGGGUCCACUACUUGCCCUUCUCCCCCUAUAAAUACCACAGCAUUGUGAGCUCAACUCCACACCCAAAACCACCAGAACCAUUUCGAGCUCACAAUCCUUUCUCUUCUCUCUUUGUUACAAGCCAUUUCUCAAGUUUAGUUUAGAAAUAGUCAUCAAAACAAAAACCCAAAAAGAUUCCCCUUGCAUAGUAGUAGUAGUAGGAGCUUGGUUUGCCUCACUCGUGUAGGAGGAUGAAGAAGCAUAUCUUCGGCAAGUUCAAGAAAGCAAAGGGUGAGAGCUCUUCUCAAGGCUCUCACCAUGCUCAUGGAAGGGAGGAAGAAGAAGGUUACCAUGGGAUGGUACCCUACGAGCCUCCAUCAAGGAUGAGAGAGCCCGAGAGCGGCCUCAUGUUAAGCCAAGAAGAGUUGCAAAGGUACUACAUCAUCCGAGAGGGUCUCUUCCUACACACUAGCAUCAUCGAUCCGGACCUUUUGGCCCGCACAGGUAUGAAUAUUGAAUUCGAUAAGGUGUUUAGAGCAAUUGGUUGGAGUAGUUUUUUGGCAAGUGCCUGAAUUUGGAAAAGAAUUGCUUGCUAAGGAAUUUCUAUGCACCCUAAAACUCACAAAUAAUGGAAUAUCUUUUCGCAUGUGUGAGCAAGAACAUCAAUUAAAUUGGAGUUUGCUAAACACUGCUUUAGGGUGUGAACAUGAAUGUGAACUUGAUCUAGAUCAUGCCACUAGAAUGUUCGAUAAAAUUAGAUUCUGGAAAGCAAUUUCUGGCUCUAAUGAUUGUUCAAAUCCUACUCCCAUUGAAAUCCAUAAUCCAACCUUGCGCUUUCUUCACUUCUGGAUCAUGUGCACUCUAUAUCCUGGCAUGGGAACUGAUACUUUAAUUGAUGAUGAACUUAAAAUUCUCUAUGCCAUGGUUAGUAAAAUCAAGGUCUCCCCUGUGAAACUGCUAGUGAACUAUUGGCUUAACUCUAUUGAGUAUGGGAAGCCCAUCUAUUUCACAUCCUUUAUUACUCGAAUAGCCGAUACUUUUGGAUUACUUGAAUCACAUUAUUUUGAAGACAUUGGCUAUGUUAGAGGAGUGGUAGAUGAGAACUUCUUUAUCAAUGCUAACAUGCUCAUAAGAGAUCCAAAUGGUGAACUUAAAAUGAUUUAUCCGGGCUAUACAACCGAAAUUCCUCUCCCAUGUGCGAGGCGCCGGUUGUAUGGGGUCCGCACACUUACCAUUAGACUAGCCCGAGUGGCAAGUCCAGAUGUUGCAGGGACACGCAGGGUGACAAGAAGGAUGAUGCAAGCCGCCCAGAUGGAGCAAGGAGGAUCCUCGCACCAUGACGUUGAAGAGGGCGAUGAAGCGAUGUCAGUGGAUGCUUCAGACUCCAUGGGUCUACCUCCACAACGCACUCCACGCCCAAGGGACAGGGCUAGGCGUCACCAGCCCACAGGUAUGGACAGUCUCAUUAAUGACAUGGGCGAAUUGCAGAUUGGGCAAGAAGCAACAUUGCAACUGGCGUUACAAAACGGCCAACAUAUCCGACGUGUGCGAGAGGAAGACGCACAACGCUGGGCUGGAUGGUACCAAAAUUUCCCGCCACCACAGUGAGCGAAGAUCUAGCUUGGGGGAGAUCCUCUCCCCCACUAAGGUAAGUAUUCUAUCCUAUUUAUUUUCAUGCAUUUUAUCAUUCUUACUUAAAAAAAAUAAUAAUAAUAAAAAAUAAAUAUUUAUUAGCAUUUCCCUUUAGCAUAUAUGCUUCAUGUAUGUUUAUAUCCCUCAUGGAAAUUAUGACUAGUUGCUUGUUAAAUGUUUCUCUAGUGCCUAGUAUACAACUUAGUAUUUCUCUAAGUAUGGAUCACUUAGCUCACUUAAACUGCCAUGAACCUAAAAACUUUGUGGGUUGCAAGUGCUAGAACUAAGUCUAAGUUGUUGUGGGACAUGAGAUAGUAAGACAAGAGCUACUAUAAUAUUUUUCUAAGCAUGCAUGAUUAUCAGAGAUUUAUUCUUAAAAUGAUCAAAACCUUAAUUGUUCCUCAAUGGUGAUGAAUUCCUACCACAGCCAUAUCUACUUUACAUAAUUGCAACCUUUCCACAUAAGCUAUUUGCUUUGUGUUGAGUGUCGUCAAGUCUUGUUGACCCUUGUUAAGAGACUUUUCAUGCUCCUAAGAUCAAGAUCACGUACACACCACAUAUAUAUAUGCUGCUUCUACACUGGAAGUACGCAACCACAUGUAUUUCGCAUCCACUAAAUAGGUUGCUCCAUACUCUAAAUGUUAGAACAUCUCUCUAAGCAUUAUUUGGUAAAUGAGACAUCAAAAGGCUAGGCAAAAUGAAAUAAAAAGAUGGACAUGUGCAAGUCCACAGAAAAAGAAAAUUGAGCACAUGAAAGCUCAUAUAUAGAAAAAAAAAGAAGAAAAAAAUGCUAGCCAUGUCUCAAUACAUAGAGAGUCUAUCAAAUAAAGGAGCAACCUAGUCCACCAUAUAUCACACUUGCACAUCUUGAUCUGGGAGUAUGACACUUCUCUUCAAGGAUCCGAGCUUUGACUUCGCAAUACAUGCAAAGUAAGUAUGCUAUCUCCUUUCAUCCCUACCUUGAACUCCACAUAAGCCUUUUAGAAAUAGGAUGAAAUAGAGAAGGCAACUCUUACCAUAUGCCUUGGUGAGGAAUCAUACACCAUUUGAGUGACAUGAGAGAACCAUAAGAGGAACAUUUAAGCUUUCUUUUGAAAAUAUCACAAACCUCUGAUAUGAAACUUGCUAAGAAUGAGAAAGUUAGUGCUCAAGUCAAACUGUUCUGUCUCUCAACCACCUAAGACAAAGGAAAAGCCAUAAGCCCCAUAAGGGACUAAGGUAAUAGGGGUA